GGCUAUAAAACGUCGAAACACCGGUUCCCCGCCGAUCACGGAAGUUAAGCAACAUCGAGCCUGGUCAGUACCUAGAUGGCUCAUCGUUUGUGAAUACCAAAAACUGUA